UUGGCACAGUGAUCUACAUCUUAUGUUUCUAUAAUUUUUCAUUGUAAAUACUUCAUUUUCUGCUUUUCUGAAUUAAUUUCUUUCUAUGGAUUUCAUCAAGUAAUAAAUAGACUUCAAUUAGCAUGGUUACUGUGGAGACUAAAUAGGCAAAUAUAUGUAAAUCUGAAAGGGCACAAUCACGUUUUAUACAAAUUUGACUUUCUUUUUUUUCCCCCGAACCUCAGGUGCAAAUGGGUGAGUUAAUGAUCCCUUUGUUCAUGAAGCUUUUGCAUUAUUUCUCCACGAAAUACAUUCAGUUAUUCUUGAUGUCAGGGGAAAAUUGGUUUAUAAAAGUCCAUGAAUUGAUUAACACCAUUGUAAUCUUAGUUGCUUGAUAUCCAAGUCUAGGGGGGGACCAGAGAGCCGGAGGGGACUGAGGCUUCAGAGGGCUGCCAUGGAUACUGGAGAACCAUUGCUAGGGCAUACAGCAAGAAAAACGAGAUCUGAGAAAUUCCGCAGUGUUCGUCUACAGGUGGAAAACAAACCCUAUGUGUGUCAUGAGUCUGGAAGCACUCUGCUCUGGAAUCAGGGAGGGAACUCAAGAAUUCUGAAUGCCAUAGGCUACUGAAUGCACACAACACAAUGUUUAUCAUGUUCUGAUUUGUAAGAGAUCUGUAUUUUGACCUUUAUUUUCAAUCACAGCUAUAAUCUGACAUUUGACCCUGGGAUAGGAGUGACCUCUUACACCCUGUUCUUAGAGUGCACCACUUGUGGUUUCUUGGGCUAGGGGGUCACACCCAGGUGAAGGUCUGGGGCUUCCUGACAGGUGAGUCUGGAAGUUGUGUGCGCAGUACUGGAUCUCAUGACUUCUUUCUCCAUCCUCAGCUUUGCCUGCUUAGUGCUUGUACUGUCUGUGAGUGAGAACCCAGAGAAAGAUACCUGGCAACUGACUUGUCGACAAUGCAGGCACCGGAAUCAGUGACAUUUGAAGAUAUAGCUGUAGACUUCACCAAGGAAGAGUGGGCCCUGCUGGACGCAUCCCAGCGAAAGCUGUUCAGAGAUGUGAUGCUGGAAAGUAUCAAUCAUCUGAUCUUUCUGGAGAAUAAUAGCUGCAAAAGAUCCUUCCGGUUGGAGCAGGAAGGAGAGCUGCAGAGUGAAGGAACUGGGUUUCUCCAAGAGCACAGUCCAG